CAGUUGUUUGUCAGCAGUAAAGACUCGAUAGAUAUGCGUGCUUCUUCUGUCGUGAUUUUGCUACGGUGGAAAAUAACAUCCAAAAACCUGGCAGCAGCGGGGUCUUAUGACCCUAAGAAGGGAUCCCAAAUUUGUGCCGGGGCAUGGAAAGUGGAACACAGCCGCAACCGUGAGCUAUUACAAUUUUGUGGACUACAUGAAAAGAAGUUAUUAAAAAGUUUGGGAGCGGAUAACUAUUGUAAUUGACUGACUGACCGUAUAAUAAUCCAUACCUUCCCUUUUGCAUCUUAUUGUCUGCGAUGGAAAUGCCAAGAAGAAAAAGUGAGGAACCUGGGGGAAAAACUUUGUUAAUUUUCGAGCAGCUCACGCAAUAAAGCAAGCGCAGGCAGCGCAUCACGUGCGCAUUUAAGUUGCAAGUUACAACGGCAACGUGCCGCAUCCAAAGAUACACAGAUACCGUGCAGCGUGCUCCGUACCCCCGGUGAAACACACACAGAUACUCGCACUCACACCGGCAUACAUAAACACAGGACUAGUUAGCUCAUGUCAGUGUAAAUUUUACACACAGGCGAAACCUGAUGCCGCAUACAAAAACCCAGGCGAGCGGAGCUCCUCACCUUUUUGCGGUUUAUAUUCAAGCGCGCGUGUGCAAUAAAAAGAUAUACCCAUCCCGAGCCGGCAUAACGGAAGUCGAGGCAAGUUUUUGGCAUCCACGGCGGAUGCAGGCGGCCCCCGGGAAAGUGGAAAGCGGGAAAACACAUAGCUGGCUGCGCUGCAUAAUCAGGCAAAGGCGACGGCGACAACGACAACAUUUAUCAAAUGAAAUGCACGUGCCAAGCGUUUGCCUGGCCCGCUUCCGUGGGCCGUCUCCCCGGCCGGGAUGAGGUCCUCCUCGGAGGUGCCACGGCUCCGGGGCCAGCUUGUGCACGAGGUGUGCCAGAGAAGUUGUGCUGGGUUCCCCUGGGAAUUGCCCCUCAGAAUAUUUAUGGGAUGUUUAAGAAGUCCCUGGAGACUUGGAAUCACUUAAGAGGGUGAACGAAAGUGUUUUAUUUACCAGUAGCAAAAUAAACUAUUUAAAAAAUGUAGAAAAUAUGCAUGCCUACCAAUAUAAAUAACAGAAUUCCACUAUCAAAUCCAACUGUCUUAAUUUUUAGUAAUACUUUUCCCCUAAUUAAUAAUGCUCUUUUCUCAACAUUUCCCCCUACCUUA